rnacentral:rRNA from 1 species
UCGGGAAUUUUGGACAAUGGGUGAGAGCCUGAUCCAGCCAUGCCGCGUGCAGGAAGAAGGCGUUAUGCGUUGUAAACUGCUUUUUGCCAGGGGAUAAAAAGACCGUGCGCGGUUAAUUGAAGGUACCUGGUGAAUAAGCCACGGCUAACUACGUGCCAGCAGCCGCGGUAAUACGUAGGUGGCAAGCGUUGUCCGGAUUUAUUGGGUUUAAAGGGUGCGUAGGUGGCCCUGUAAGUCAGUGGUGAAAUAUCUCAGCUUAACUGAGAGGGUGCCAUUGAUACUGCAGGGCUUGAGUACAGAUGAGGUAGGCGGAAUUGACGGUGUAGCGGUGAAAUGCAUAGAUAUCGUCAAGAACACCGAUAGCGAAGGCAGCUUACCAAGCUGUAACUGACACUGAGGCACGAAAGUGUGGGGAUCAAACAGGAUUAGAUACCCCAGUAGUCCCUGAGCGGGCUGGCAAGGCGCAU